rnacentral:rRNA from 1 species
UACGUAGGGUGCGAGCGUUAAUCGGAAUUACUGGGCGUAAAGGGUGCGCAGGCGGCUCCGCAUGUCGGGCGUGAAAUCCCCGGGCUUAACCUGGGAAUUGCGUCCGAAACUAUGGAGCUGGAGUGUGGCAGAGGGAGGUGGAAUUCCACGUGUAGCGGUGAAAUGCGUAGAGAUGUGGAGGAACACCGAUGGCGAAGGCAGCCUCCUGGGCCAACACUGACGCUCAGGCACGAAAGCGUGGGGAGCAAACAGG